GUGUGCUUGCAUAGGCCGUACAUUUGCUAAAAUUGGAACAACCCAGAAAAUUAGCAUGGCCCGAUGCAAGGAUGACACAUAAAUUAGUGAAACGUUUCAUUUGUUU